GGGGCUUGGCCCUUUAUAGACCUACGAUGUAAUAAUACCCUAACCACAUACCCACCAUACGACUGGAAUCACACAUACACUGCCACAAGAGGUCUGCAGUGAAGGUCCCAAAGUCCCAGACAACGGAGUCUCUCUCUGUCGCCCAGGGUAGAGUGCAGUGGUGCAAUCCUGGCUCACUGCAACCUCUGCCUCCCAGGUUCAAGUGAUUCUCCUGCCUCAGCUUCCCAAGUAGCUGGGACUACAGGCGUGUGCCACCACGACCAGCAAAAUCAUAGAAGGAAACUCUAUGGACAAUUUCAGAUGGAGAAGAAGAAAGGACUGGAAGUUCAAUUUGGCCAUGACAAUUAGACUUGAAGAAGCUGAGUGAGAAGGCCAUGCAGAUAUCUUGGAGAAGUGCAUUCCAGGCAGAGGAAAAGCCAGUGCAGAGACACUGAAGCAGGGCAUGACUGAUGUGUAUAAGGAGCAUCAUAUACAUGAUCAUCUACAGUCCACUGAGGAGAAUAGCAGACGAGAGGCCAGGUGCAGUGCAUGUAAUCCCAGCACUUUGGGAGACUGAGAUGGGAAGAUCGCUUGAGGCCAGGAGUGCAAGACCAGCCUGGGCAACACAGCAAGACCUUGAUUCUACUAAAAAAAAAAAAGGAUCCUUCAACUUCAACAAUAAUAACACAAGGGAAGUGAAGAAAAACACUUUCUAAGGAAAUCUCUCUCUGAGCUACCAUCCUGCUAGGGAGAGCCUGAAAGCAGAAUGCUGACUUGACUAGCUCUGGUCAAUGAAAGAAAUCACCAGUGGAAAGGCUACCAGGGGGCUUUCUCAAAAGAGAGGGACAGUAAACUGCAAGAUGAACAACUCAAUGCCAUCCAGGUCUGGAUGAGAAAGAACAGUCG
rnacentral:lncRNA from 10 species